UGGGGAAUAUUGCACAAUGGGCGCAAGCCUGAUGCAGCCAUGCCGCGUGUGUGAAGAAGGCCUUCGGGUUGUAAAGCACUUUCAGCGAGGAGGAAGGUGGUGAGCUUAAUACGCUCAUCAAUUGACGUUACUCGCAGAAGAAGCACCGGCUAACUCCGUGCCAGCAGCCGCGGUAAUACGGAGGGUGCAAGCGUUAAUCGGAAUUACUGGGCGUAAAGCGCACGCAGGCGGUUUGUUAAGUCAGAUGUGAAAUCCCCGGGCUCAACCUGGGAACUGCAUUUGAAACUGGCAAGCUAGAGUCUCGUAGAGGGGGGUAGAAUUCCAGGUGUAGCGGUGAAAUGCGUAGAGAUCUGGAGGAAUACCGGUGGCGAAGGCGGCCCCCUGGACGAAGACUGACGCUCAGGUGCGAAAGCGUGGGGCAGCAAACAGGAUUAGAUACCCUGGUAGUCCACGCUGUAAAACGAUGUCGAUUUUGGAGGUUGUGCCCUUGAGGCGUGGCUUCCGGAGCUAACGCGUUAAAUCGACCGCCUGGGGAGUACGGCCGCAAGGUUAAAACUU
rnacentral:rRNA from 1 species